rnacentral:snRNA from 1 species
AUCGCUUCCCGGCCUUUUGGCUAAGAUCAAUUGUAGUAUCUGUUCUUAUCAGUUUAAUAAGGUAUAAUGAGCUGUGGUGCUCAAAGAAAUUUUUAAAAAAUUUUUUUUAUGUCUUUUAUUUAUUUUUGAGAGACAGAGAGAGACAGCACGAGCAGGGGAGGGUCAGAGAGAGAAGGAGACACAGAAUCCGAAGCAGGCUCCAGGCUCU